rnacentral:rRNA from 1 species
AUGGGGACCUGUAUGAAUGGCCUGACGAGGGCUUAACUGUCUCCUCUCUCCAGUCAAUGAAAUUGAUCUCCCCGUGCAGAAGCGGGGAUACCACCAUAAGACGAGAAGACCCUAUGAAGCUUCAGACGCAAGGCAGCUUACGUUUAUCCAUCCUUUAGAAGAACCAAACUUAGUAACUCCUGUCCUUAAUGUU